UACGUAGGGGGCUAGCGUUGUCCGGAAUCAUUGGGCGUAAAGAGCGUGUAGGCGGCCCGGUAAGUCCGCUGUAAAAGUCAAAGGCUCAACCUUUGAAUGUCAGUGGAUACUGCCGGGCUAGAGUCCGGAAGAGGCGAGUGGAACUCCUGGUGUAGCGGUGGAAUGCGCAGAUAUCAGGAGGAACACCGGUGGCGAAGGCGGAUCUCUGGGCCAUUACUGACGCUGAGGAGCGAAAGCGUGGGGAGCGAACAGG
rnacentral:rRNA from 1 species